AGCCGCCGCGGUAACACCGGCAGCUCUAGUGGUAGCCAUUUUAUUGGGCCUAAAGCGUUCGUAGCCGGUUGAUAAGUCUCUGGUGAAAUCCUGUAGCUUAACUGUGGGAAUUGCUGGAGAUACUAUUAGACUUGAGGUCGGGAGAGGUUAGCGGUACUCCCAGGGUAGGGGUGAAAUCCUGUAAUCCUGGGAGGACCACCUGUGGCGAAGGCGGCUAACUGGAACGAACCUGACGGUGAGGGACGAAAGCCAGGGGCGCGAACCGGAUUAGAUACCCGGGUAGUCCUGGCCGUAACGAUGUGGACUUGGUGUUGGGAUGGCUUCGAGCUGUUUCAGUGCCGAAGGGAAGCUGUUAAGUCCACCGCCUGGGAAGUACGGUCGCAAGACUGAACUUAAAGGAAUUGGCGGGGGAGCACCACAACGCGUGGAGCCUUGCGGUUUAAUUGGAUUCAACGCCGGACAUCUCACCAGGAGCGACAGCCGUAUGAUAGCCAGGUUGAUGACCUUGCUUGACAAGCUGAGGAGAGGUGCAUGG
rnacentral:rRNA from 1 species